AUUGAACGCUGGCGGCAUGCCUAACACAUGCAAGUCGAACGAGAGGCGGACGGGUGAGCAAGGUCUGGGAAACUGCGUGAUGGAGGGGUAUGAGUACUGGAAACGGUAGCCAAAACCGCAUAACACGGGAUGUGCCCAGAUGGGAUUAGCUAGGAGGUGGGGUAAAGGCUCACCUGGGCGACGAUCCCUAGCUGGUCUGAGAGGAUGACCAGCCACACUGGGACUGAGACACGGUCCAGACUCCUACGGGAGGCAGCAGUGGGGAAUAUUGGACAAUGGGCGCAAGCCUGAUGCAGCCAUGCCGCGUGUGUGAAGAAGGCCUUCGGGUUGUAAAGUACUUUCAGCGGGGAGGCGUUACCCGCAGAAGAAGCACCGGCUAACUACGUGCCAGCAGCCGCGGUAAUAC
rnacentral:rRNA from 1 species